GGGGAGAGGACAGAUAAUGUUUAUUGACUGAAUGCUUGAUAUUCCAGUCUUAAGAGGAAAAAAUUUAAAGACAUACCAGGAUACAGACAUUCUUCUUAUGCUAUAUAAAUAAAAAGUUUAAAAGCCUAACAGAAAAACAAAGACCCAAGUAAUAUAGGACAAUAUAUACUAUAUAUUUAUGAUAUGUUGACCAUUAAUUUGGUAACAAACUUUCUACAAGUUAAUCAAGAAGUUGUAUUUGCUCUACAAAUCUUCCACAAUAAUUGGAUAAAAUGAAACCAGUCUGGGAGACCUAUUUCUAUAUCAAAUAAAAGAACACAAACAUGGAAUUUCCUAUUGUGGCUCAGCAGUAAUGAGCCUGACUAUUACCAUGAGGAUGCAGGUUCCAUCCCUUGCCUCGCUCAGUGGGCUAAGGAUCUGGCAUUGCUGUGAGCUGUGGUGUAGGUUGCAGGCGUGGCUCAGAUUCUGUGUUGCUCUGGCUGUGGUAUAGGCUGGCAGCUACAGCUCCAAUUAGACCCCUAGCCUGGGAACUUCCGUGUGCUGCAGGGGUGUGGCCCUAAAAAGCAAAAUUAAAUUAAAUUAAAAAAUGAAUUGUUCAAACUCCCAUUGUGGCUCAGCAGUAAUCAACCUGACUAGUAUGCACAAGUAUGCGUGUUUGAUCCUUGGCCUCACUCAGUGGUUUAAGGAUCUGGCACUGCUGUGAGAGCUGUGGUGUAGGUGGCAGACAUGGCUUGGAUCUGGUGUCGCUGUGGCUGCAGCUCUGAUUUGACGUCUAGCCUGGGAACUUCUAUAUACUGUGGGGUGUGGCCCUCCAAAUACAAAAAAAAAAAAAAAAAAGAAUUGUUAAAAGAAAAAUGCAUAUAGACUUUAAAUGGCAUAAAAUGAUGUAACAGACAAUGCUCAUAACCAUAUUUCUGUAAUUUAGCUGUGGUAAAUUUCAUAAAGCCCAUUUGUUAGACUGCUUUCUAGAAUAAAUCAUGGGCUUAUCUGAGAAAAUUGUUAGAAAGUUAGAAUGAUUUUUCUAUCACUAUACAUUUAAAAAAUUCUGUUCAAGAGAAUUCAUGUGAUAUGAAAUAUUAAAAACUUGCAAAUCUUAUCUGUCACAUAAAUUAUACAAUUUUGUGAAUAGGCUCCAAGAUUUUCAGUUAUGUGUUACAUGUGUUUAGUUCAAUGUAACGUCCUUAACAUGUAGAAAAUGCUGGUCGCCAAGAGGUUGACUGAAUAGUAUUAUAGGUGAUACACAUUAUGUGGAUGUGAAAUUUAGCUUUUUAACACUAUUACAAUAGUGGCACUGACAGGUUUAAAUAUAGUGUUAGCAAAGAUAAUAUUUGUGGCUGAUAGUUCUAAUUUUCUUUGCCAACACUAUAUCAAAUCAUUAACUAUUUUCAAUUUUCACCAAAUGAUUCCAUAGUCAUAAGCUUAUUGCAUUACCAUAUUACUCCUAAUGAUUUAUUUCUAAUCAUAUUGCGAGUACGUAUUUAGUGUGAUAGCUGAAUUAUAUUAAUUUGGCUACAAACAAAAUGAUGCAAUUUAAAAUAUUGAUUGCAACAGCAUUCUCUUUCCAUAAAUCUGCCUUGUAUUUCCAUUGAUUUUAAGUAUGUGAUUAAAUUGUUUGCUUUGAUUCAGAAAUUGUAUUUGGAUUAUAUGAGAAAACUCAAAAUGUGGAAAAUUACAAUUUUAGGUUGAAAAGUACACAAUGCCUAUCCUGAGAAAGCAAUGGUGUUGGCUCUGAGACACAUGACAGGAGUGACACCAGGGCAGUGUGGAUGUGCUCUAUGAGUCACCUCACAAAGAGGACAGAUUGGGACAUUUCUCCAUGAAAACACAUGCUCUGUGGGGGGAGUAGGCAUGGAUUUGAGUCCCAGGAGACUUUUAUCUUUCCAUUUUUGUUAUACAUUUUAUCUUUAUAUAUGAAAAAUGAGAGUUUGAAGACAACAAAAUCUUUAAUACCUAUGGAAACCCUGGCACAUACCUGUGGGAAAAGAAUCCUUUCAUUUUAUCACUAAACAUAACCCUAGGUUAAAAUCAUCAUCAUACACAGUUAUAGUAUCUAUAUAUACAUAAAUAUGUACAUAUAUGUGAUGUAUUUAUGCACACGUUUAUAUGCUUAUAUGCAAACAUGGCAUAAAUAUGUACAUGCAUAUAUACAUACAAGGGUAGAUUCCUCUCUACAUAUAAGGUGAAUUCUAUUGUAAUGAAUAUUAAGUUAUACAUAUAUGCAGUAGAUAAAGUAUACAAAUAAGGCAUAACCCAGUGUAUCUGCAGAGUCCUCAUAUUUGCUUCCCAUAUGAGAACCUCUGAGUCCUCUUCUGUCUUCUGUGUUAUGCUACCAUUUUCCUUUUCUAUUAAUGGGUGAAUGUCUCUCAUGCAAAGGAAGGCACCUUUGCUGGUGACAGGCGGGGGCGGCGGCUGUGGUGGGGGGCUGCAGAAAGUAGGCGUUAUUUUUGAGACUCCUGUGCAGUCGGUUCUCCAUGGGAUCCUCAGUUGCACAGGCCAUCAGCUCUGACUGUAACUAUGGCUCCCACUUCUGGCUCGUCCAUCUCACCUUCAAUUCUCCUUGAGCCUCAGGGCUGCUCCUCCGUGAUUGCCUCCUAUUACUGGUCUCUUGUA
rnacentral:lncRNA from 1 species